CAGUCGCCGCGGUAAUACGUAGGGUGCGAGCGUUAAUCGGAAUUACUGGGCGUAAAGCGUGCGCAGGCGGUUUUGUAAGACAGGCGUGAAAUCCCCGGGCUCAACCUGGGAAUGGCGCUUGUGACUGCGAAGCUAGAGUGCGGCAGAGGGGGAUGGAAUUCCGCGUGUAGCAGUGAAAUGCGUAGAGAUGUGGAGGAACACCGAUGGCGAAGGCAGCCCCCUGGGCCAAUACUGACGCUCAUGCACGAAAGCGUGGGGAGCAAACAGGAUUAGAUACCCCCGUAGUCCCUGUCUCUUAUAC
rnacentral:rRNA from 1 species